UACGUAGGUGACAAGCGUUGUCCGGAUUUACUGGGCGUAAAGAGCGCGCAGGCGGUCGUUCAAGUCGAGUGUGAAAGCCCCCGGCUCAACUGGGGAGGGUCACGCGAUACUGAUCGACUCGAAGGCAGGAGAGGGUAGUGGAAUUCCCGGUGUAGUGGUGAAAUGCGUAGAUAUCGGGAGGAACACCAGUGGCGAAGGCGACUACCUGGCCUGUUCUUGACGCUGAGGCGCGAAAGCUAGGGUAGCAAACGGG
rnacentral:rRNA from 1 species